ACUUUUGGAGUCGAGUGAUUGUGAUAUGGUCCUUUUUUACAUCGUUGACGUUCACUACCGUUGCAUUCACUGUUCCAGGCUUUUAGCUCAUUGACGUUUUCUUCUCCAGUCCUUGCAACAACGGUUUCGUAUGCUUCAACUCCAUCAAAUUCUUUGUUCCGCUUUUCGAGUUUCGUACUUUAUCGCCUCCGAUAGCUUCUUCCAGCUCGAUUCCGCUUCAGCUUCAACUGCUUCUGUUUCUUUUGCAUUUCCUUUGAUGGGCUUCUUCUUCUUCAUCAGUGCUACUGCAGUGCUGUCCCUAACUCGCGGGUGUGUUGCUGAAACUCUUGUUGAUGGUAUUGUGACAUCUAAAUGUUUGCACCAUGGAUCCUGCCCAACACACCUCGUUCAACCGCGGUCUUUCAGUGAAUUCGUGAGUAUGCGGGUGCUCCCGAUGAAGUUAAGAGAUCGUGAAUUUCACGAACCGAGUUUCCAUUAACAAGCUGUUUUUUGUCGCUGAGGUCGUUCCAUUUAUUUCGGUUAGUGUUUGUUUCUGUUUUGUUGACAUUACGUUGCAAUUCUGUUUAAAGCUAGUUCGGAGAACCGGACACUAACUCCCUAACUUUGCUGAGGAUAAUAGUGUACAGUUUUGCUUAAACACCUUCAUGGGCACUCGGAUGAUGGUCUGCGAACCUUACGUAUAAGGCUAAAUUUUUUCAGGUCAUGUUAUUUGCGUACAUAUGUUAGGAAGUUUUAGGUGGUUUACAUUUCCGUUAUUUUCCAAAGUGAGCGAACUGUGUUCAGAUUAGUGAUCCACAGAACUCAAAAUUCUGGAUAUUCUAGGUUAGAUUUUAUUCUGCACGUUUCGUAUCUAUAAACAUCCAGCCAGCACCGUACCGGGGUGGUCAACUAAGAUCAGCACCUUCGACUGCUUUGCCAAUAUACCAAGCACGCUGACCAUAAACAAAAAAUACAAGAAAACAACAACUGAAAGUAUUAAUUAUACUAGUAGUAGUCACCAUAGCCAUCAUUCGGGCACCAGUCACCCAACCUCGAGAUCUCUGCUCAGCCGCCGUCGUCGUCAUCGUCGACGCUAGUGGACCGCAUGUGCUCUUUCGCUCUCUCAGCCUCGGACGGAUGCUUGAGAUCAGGUUGGGCUAGUUUUGGCCUGCGCCGUCCAUAGUCUGGGCUCAACAACUCGAAAGCGAAAGGCUCAAAUUGAUCGUAAAUCAAGUGUGAAAAGUGGUGAAUUGGGGAAACAAACCGAUGCAUGUGCUUUGGUAGUGACAUCGAAACAACAACUCAAAGCUGUUCACAUUGAAGGAAAGUUGCGCAAAAAUCCGAAAAAGUCAAUUGAUUAGCAUAUCAAGCCUCACGCACAAAGACAGCGGCAAAAUGGUCCGUCUACUGGUUCUGCUGUUGUGCAUUUCCAUAACAACCACUCAGAAGCCAGGCAGCUUCAGUUUCAAAGAGAAAGGUUUCAAGAGCAAUCAUAACUACGACGUGGAUCCGCAAGUGCUCGAGAUCCAGCGCCAAAAUCUUAUAACGCAGAAAAUCCUGCAGCGCUACCUCGAGCGACGAUUGCAUCCGGAGCGUAAGCCCCAGAUUCGUGUGCCAUCGGUGGACGAAAUCCUUCCGAAACCGCUCCCCCCGGGUUCGGUGCGGGAUGUUCGCCAACAGAAUGCCACAUUGAGUGGCAAUCCACUACUGAAAGGUACCGCCGCUGGCAGUCGGUACAGUUUAUUCAAUGAUUACAACAACAAGCAAUACGAGUCGUUGGACGGAGACGAAGAAUCGAUGCAGCACCGUGGACAGGGCUUGAUCGGCGAGGACUACGACGACGACGGCGAGGGGGACUUGGAUCAGUACGAGGAUCUGGGGGGCUCGCUGGAUAAUGAUCACAUUGACAUUGAAUCGCUGCAGUCGGGCGAAUCGGAACACGUCGAUUCGUUCUAUCGGGACAAGUUCUACCGGCAGAGAGCAUCCCAGCUCUCAGCGGACUAUGGAUCUGUGCUUGGCAUGUCGGCUCUAGAUAACGAUUUCGAUGAUCCGGAGGUGAGCGUUAUGAGCGAAAUUACUAACGAGCUACGGCUGCUGUCUGAGGCCAAGAAGAGGCCGCUGGCUGAUGAAAUACAACCCACCAAGACUAGAGAGAAACGACAGGCCAUUAAUAGUCGUACUAACCGGCGAAGAACCGCUCAACGGGAGCAAACGAUUACAAAUCGCAUUGAUUCGAGAUAUUAUUACUCGGAUGAUUAUAUCGAUUACACCACCACGCCGAGACUGGCAAAGAAUUUGAGAGACAAUUAUGCUGAUUACAGACAGCAAUCGAAGAGCAAAAGUUCAAUCAAUGAAAUCAAACCGAGUCGUCCGAGAACAGUUGGGAUCCAGAGCACUUUGACUAGAAACACUGCACGAUCCAGGAAUCGUGCUAAUAGUCAAUUGAAGUCACUUGCGUAUAAACCUAAUUACAACGCUAAUACACGAAGACCAACUUUCACCCUAUCGGCUUAUGGAGGAAAUAAUAAAGCUCCAUCUCGUGGAAACACACGCCGUGGAGGAAGUAGCCGAACAUAUAAGGAUGAAGAUUAUAGAGGAAACCGAUUUGGUCACACUACUUCAUCUGACUGGCGCAAAAAGUCUGUUAGCCUGGGAAGUACAAGUUUGCAACCGAGUACUCCAGCGUUGACCGUGACUUUCUAUCUCCCUACAGAUACCACUGUAUCUUUAGUUACGAACUCCAAAACAGAGAUCAGUUUGAUAAAAACAACCACCACCAGUAUCGAAGAAAUAUGUACGUCGUGUUUCUCUCUUACGCAAGGACCAAACGGAUUACCAGUGCACGUGCUCAACAAGGAAAUUACCUCAUUUAAUAGGGACGGCCAAUUUGAAAUAACCAAAUUUAUUCUCAGUUCCACUCCAACCACGACAGUAUCCGUAUCGCAAAAUACUUUCCGAGGUCGUCAGACAGCCUAUUCUGCCACCAUUUCCACUACUAUUUAUGAGGCAAACCCGUUUAUUCAGACUAAAGGCAACAAUAACGCUAACAGCGCAAUCCUUUCUAAUGCUCCUCUGGCCAACAUCCUUCUAUCACAGCUUCUCCUCGGAAACCUUGGUGGCGUCGGAGAGCCCAACUUAGCUCCACGCCCAACCGAGUUUAUCCCGGACCCGAACCGAUACCAACUUGUUGUAACUACAGCUACUGAGUAUAAAACGCACGUCAAGGAAAUCGUUACCACAGUAACUGCAACAAAAUCUAUCGUCCUGCCUAUUACAUUCCAAGGCCGCGAAAUCCUCACUACCGUUUACGAUACUGAUGUCACUCCAACCGUUGUAACGUCAUUCAUCACAGAAACCCUCACUAUUCCCACCACUUCAACGAUACGCAUUCAGCCUACAACGGACGACCUUUCCAACAAACUGAGUCUGCUGCUCCCACUCCUAGAAGAGCGCGAACGUCGAAAUCAACUGCUUUCGGCAGUCGCUGAGCCCGUGCUCCCCAUUAUCUCAACGCCGCCUCCAACUUCGGUACUGCCAACCAGUGCGUCCAUAUCGAAAGUCUACGUCUCCGGACAGCACCCGGGAGAGUUCAGCGUAUCCUUCACAACCAUCCUGAACACGUAAUACUGCGCAGCUUCCGGCUUCAAACGUAGCCGGGUCACGUUAGAUCAGGUCUAGCCAGAGUCAAUUUUUAGGAGUUAGUCACAAUUAGGAUAUUAUUGAGUUCGCUGAACUGCCAAUUUCAACUUUAGUCAAAACAAUUAGAGGACGCGUGCUAACCACACACCCACACAUACACAUCUAGAGAAUAGAACGGGAUGAUGAAAGCAUUUUCGUACGAACACGAAUGACAAAUAAUGAAAAUACUCGACACAUACGAUGAUGGAUGCUAAUGUACAACUACAGUCGUCGAUGCACCAAUAAUGUAGUUUAGAGAUGUUAUGUAUUAUUGCCACUAUAUUUUUGUAGGACUUUUAUUUUUACAUGAAUAAAACGAAACGAUUUUAUAACAG